GACGAACGCUGGCGGCGUGCCUAAUACAUGCAAGUCGAACGCACUCUCGUUUAGAUUGAAGGAGCUUGCUCCUGAUUGAUAAACAUUUGAGUGAGUGGCGGACGGGUGAGUAACACGUGGGUAACCUGCCCUAAAGUGGGGGAUAACAUUUGGAAACAGAUGCUAAUACCGCAUAAAACCUAAACACCGCAUGGUGUAGGGUUGAAAGAUGGUUUCGGCUAUCACUUUAGGAUGGACCCGCGGUGCAUUAGUUAGUUGGUGAGGUAAAGGCUCACCAAGACCGUGAUGCAUAGCCGACCUGAGAGGGUAAUCGGCCACACUGGGACUGAGACACGGCCCAGACUCCUACGGGAGGCAGCAGUAGGGAAUCUUCCACAAUGGACGAAAGUACUGAUGGAGCAACGACCGCGUGAGUGAAGAAGGUUUACGGUAGUCGUAAACUACUGUUGUUGGUAGGAAGAAA
rnacentral:rRNA from 1 species